AGAAGAGAGAAAGCAGAUUGUCCUGAGCCCCAAGUGUCUGUGAUUCUCUUAGCUAAGUAAGGAAUCAGUGCCAGAGACAGAGGUUGCUGGAGCUGAGAGGAGACGUAGUCAAGAAGAUUGGAGAAGGCUCUGCGGAGAAGGUGAACUUGAGCUAAGACUUGAAGGGAGGGCAGGCUUGAAGGGAUGAAACAGCCUCCUCUGUGCUAAAGAGAGGAGUGACAGGGCCAUCAUCAGGCAAAGGGGACAUUACCAGGCAAAGGGACACCAUUGGUCAAAGGCGAUGGUGGAGACAAGACAUUCUGGAAGAGCCCGGAUCAGAGAGAUUUGGGGCCAGGAGCCGGCAUCAGGGGACCGGCUCCCUAAGGAACCAUGGCACCACUGGCUCUCAGCUGGAAAUAAGCAGCAGAUGAAGCACAUGCAUCCUGAGUUUUGGCUCUGGUGAUGGUGGUGGAGCUGUUAAUUCUUGGAGUCCAAAUUCCUGCACCACCUCUGAGUUCCGAGGGGGUGGGGAAGAGCAAGUGAUGGCUGGACAGCAAAGAGGAGUGGAGGCCGGGAGAAUGGGCAGCUAGCCCAGCGCUCUCCAAUAUCUGGGAGUCGACCGCACUCCUGCACUCCCUGUCAUCCCUGCUAAUGGUGAGGAACUGAGCAAAAGAGCCUCCAGAGUGACAGGUGACUUAAAGCGCACGUGGCUCUACAUUUACAAUUGAAGUGGGCUUUGGAGAUUGCAGAUUCUGAAUACCUGCUGGGGUGGUACAGAGGCUGUGUUCUGGUUUUGCCAUCUUGGACAGGGGGUUGGGAGUCUGGGGGGCUGCCUUCUCUCCUCUUCGUGCAGCUCUGCUGGGGCCUGUCUCACACUUGUGAGCAGAGUUAUGGCUGGAUUCCAGGGGAGACAGAGCUUGGUUGUGAAAUGUAAGGUUGUGAAAUGAAGGGCUUGUGAAAUGAACAAAGAAUGUAUUUAAGGGUCUUUCAUUUUAAAUCGAACACUUACAUAGCACUUACUACUUGCAAAGCUCCACUCUAAGCACUUUACCCAUCUUAAUUCAUUUAAUUCUCUUCUCAACCCUAAAAAGCAGGUAUUACCAUUGCUCCAAUCUUACAGAUGAGGAAACUCAGGCAUGGAGAGGUUGAGCGACUUGCCCAAAUUCAUGCAGUUAGGACCUGGCAGAGCUGCGCUUUGAACCCAGGCUGCCUGGCUCUAGAGUGUGUGCACGAAACUUCACUGCCAUAUGAACAAAACUGCAGGACAUAUGUUCUCAAAGCAAAUAAGCCUCCCAGAGAGGCUUUUCCUGAUGGCUUCAAGGACCUGCCCUAGCCUGGUCUGACUUCCCAGAGGGGAUCCAGUCCCAACAUUGGCCCUAUCUUUAGACCACAUUUCCAUCCCAUUCUCAGUGAAAACCCUGAGUCAUGACAGAAGACAACCAAUGCUGGAGAGAGGAGGUUUCAGGAGGACAACAGUCAGAAUACCCCCAAGACGUCCUUCUUUCCCUAAGGUCUCAAAAUCCUUGCCUCAAGAAGUUAUUCCUGAAGUCUAGCUUGAAUUCCUCCAGAUAGAGUUUAAACCAGACAAACAGCCUACGAACAUGUUACAAUAUUCAAAAACUUCUA
rnacentral:lncRNA from 1 species